CCUUCAACUGAGUUCACACAGGCUGCACACGUCAUACCCCCUAUUGUGAACUGCCCCAAAAGAGUUCCAUUUGGCUUUGUUUUAAAUGUAAUGGGUUCAGCUAGAAUCUCAGCCUCAAAGCCUGCAUCCUCAAUUGCUUUCUUGAUGUCAUCAUCCUUAACCAAAGUAGGGUUAAACACGACAUCAGCCUUAUUUUGAAGCAAGGCAACAGAGGCUCUCAAAACCCCAUUGACGCUCUUGAGAGCUGAUUCCACGGAAUUAGAGCAGGCAGCACAGGUCAUCCCCGUAACUCUGAUCUGAAUCCUCUUCAUCGCUUCUUCUCCUUCUGCUUCUCCUUCCCCGUCAAUCAUAAUUGUAUGCGAAUAAUCCGGGCUUUCAUAGGAGUCAAGGAGCCUAACGUCUUCGAGGUCGCCAGCUUCAUCUCCCGCCACGAUCAACGGACGUGAUUUCCUAUCGCCGGGGACCUCGGACAGCUGCAGGUCUCUUACGCUCGGCAACAUUGUUAGAUGCAACCCAGCGAGAGACAAUCUCUAGCAGAAGAAGAAGAAAGAAGAAUGUAAAUAAAA
rnacentral:misc_RNA from 1 species